AAUAUUGGGACAUAUAAAAAAGACAACUCUGUUCCGCAGAGUAGCUGUUGACAUUAUAGUUGCGCAGGCACUUUGUUGACUCUAGAAAACAUCGGGCCAAUCGCACAUCCCCAUAGCGGCGACUUUGCAUGCGGAUGUCAUCCAUAUCAACUUUCAAUGACAGUUUCUGCGCCUACCAUGGUGACCAAGAGUAACAGGGAAUAAGGGUUCCUUUCCUUACAGGGACCCUGAGAAAUGGCUACCACAUGCAAGGAAGGCAGCAGGCGGGCAAAUUACCCACUCCCGACGCGGGAAGGUAGUGA